GGGGAAUAUUGCACAAUGGGCGCAAGCCUGAUGCAGCCAUGCCGCGUGUGUGAAGAAGGCCUUCGGGUUGUAAAGCACUUUCAGCGAGGAGGAAGGGUAGUGUGUUAAUAGCACAUUGCAUUGACGUUACUCGCAGAAGAAGCACCGGCUAACUCCGUGCCAGCAGCCGCGGUAAUACGGAGGGUGCAAGCGUUAAUCGGAAUUACUGGGCGUAAAGCGCACGCAGGCGGUUUG
rnacentral:rRNA from 1 species